UACGUAGGGGGCUAGCGUUGUCCGGAAUCAUUGGGCGUAAAGCGCGCGUAGGCGGACUCUUAAGUCGGUGGUGAAAUCCUGGAGCUCAACUCCAGAACUGCCUUCGAUACUGAGAGUCUUGAGUCCGGGAGAGGUGAGUGGAACUGCGAGUGUAGAGGUGAAAUUCGUAGAUAUUAGGAAGAACACCCGUGGCGAAGGCGGUUCUCUGGGACGGUACUGACGCUGAGACGCGAAAGCGUGGGGAGCGAACAGG
rnacentral:rRNA from 1 species